rnacentral:rRNA from 1 species
GUGGGGAAUAUUGGACAAUGGGCGAAAGCCUGAUCCAGCCAUGCCGCGUGUGUGAAGAAGGUCUUCGGAUUGUAAAGCACUUUAAGUUGGGAGGAAGGGCAGUAAGUUAAUACCUUGCUGUUUUGACGUUACCAACAGAAUAAGCACCGGCUAACUUCGUGCCAGCAGCCGCGGUAAUACGAAGGGUGCAAGCGUUAAUCGGAAUUACUGGGCGUAAAGCGCGCGUAGGUGGUUCAGCAAGUUGGAGGUGAAAUCCCCGGGCUCAACCUGGGAACUGCCUCCAAAACUACUGAGCUACAGUACGGUAGAGGGUAGUGGAAUUUCCUGUGUAGCGGUGAAAUGCGUAGAUAUAGGAAGGAACACCAGUGGCGAAGGCGACUACCUGGACUGAUACUGACACUGAGGUGCGAAAGCGUGGGGAGCAAACAGGAUUAGAUACCCGUGUAGUCC